UGUUUCUCCUCCAAGAGAUUGUUCUGUGUCUAGAGAAGCACGUGUUCUGAUUUAAUUAGAAACCGGUGGGGCACUGGGCUGGCUGGCUAGCUGUUCUGGCCGCCCUGGAAGCCGGAGGGCUGAGUGGAAGCCAGGGAGUCUGAGCAUAUCUUUGGGGUUUUCCUGAGGUGGUGGAAUGGAGAGGAAGGCAGACACUUCUUGAAUUCCCUUCCUCUGAAGCAGAGGCAGUAGCUUCUGUGUCUUCUCCCUCUACAGCUGGAUUCUCCUGCAUUUAUACCUCCUGCUCCAUCGUGUCCUAACCAGAGCUUACAGACCUCUCUCCCCCAUGGGAUGUGGAUCCUGCGAUGCCAAUGACCAGACCUUCCCUUGUUUGUAGAGCCGGCAUCUGGCACUGUAUCUGCACAGAUUAAUUCAGAGAGACGGCUCUAAGUGGCAUUCCUUCAGUUGUGCGAGUUCCGGAGUUGGGAAGAACCUGUUCAACUCACAAGCUGGACAGGCCUUUCUCUUGGACCUGAAAGAUUUAUGACCCAAUCAUCCAGAAGCCCCACCACAAAAACCUCAUUGAGCUGGUUACACGUUAUCUUCCGAAUAUCAGCUCAGAUAAAAAGGACCGUCUGGCCCACUGACAACCAUCCAUUGGCUUCUGCACAGUGUAUUAUUGUCCAACGCUUCCUCGGGAGCUAUAAUUAGGUGAUGGUGUAAGGAGGCCACGGUGCGCGUUUGAAUAGCAACUCUAUUUGGGUCAUGAUGUCACUCACUCACUUGGGUCCCUUCUCAUCAUAUGGCCUUCACCAGAGUGUGGUUGGAAUUCAGCACACAUGAAAUCAGACCUUCACUGAGUUUUUCAUGAAGUAAUGAUAGCCCUUGGGAUGAAGAGCCUUUACAUACCUGAAAUAAUUAUGACUUAAGAGUUGAAGUUCUGGGACCCCACUUUUUAGCUCUUUAAUCUGGACAAGCCUCUUAGAGACUUCCUUUGUUCAUCUGCUAAUUAGGGUUCAUGGUACUAGUAACUUCUAUGGGUUAUAACAUAUGGUGUAUAUAUUACUUGCCUUUCCCCCAUCAUACCCAAUCAAUGACUACAUCCUGAAUGUUCCCCCUCUGAAGUAUUAAUAUCUCUCAACUCUUUCCAUGGUUCUCUGUCACCAAGCCAGGCCCAGCCACUGUCCACUCUUGGCUUAAAUCAUUGCACUAGCCUCUUCACUGCACCCACUCUUAUGUUCCUCUAAUAGACAGGCUGCUUCCACAAUCAUCUUGUGGGUCAGUCUCCUGGAACACAGCCUCCAGCUUCAAACCUUCCAGUGGUUUGAACUAAGCCAUUCUCUGAGGCUAAAGCCCCAAUUCCUCAUCUUGACUUGUAAGGUAAUGCAUGGUCUGUCCUUGUCUGUAUCGCAAAGCUCAGGUCCUGCCACGCAUCUCCCCCACUCCCACCACUGCAUCAGCAUUCCAGCCAAAUCAGCUUAUUUUCAGCCACUCAAAUACCUCAAGAACUCUCCUCUUUAAAAGCCCUCUGCACUGGUUGUUCCUUCUGCUUAGCACAUUCUCUACCCAUUCUCCACCACUUCCCUGCCUUGCCAAUUCCAGAUGUUCCUUUGAGAACCAGUUUGAAAUGUUGCUUCCUUGGGAAAUCCUCCUGAGAUGUCCCCCGCCACCUCCACCAUUAUUAUAAUCUCCUGAUAAACAGGCAUGCUCUACUUCCCAGCAUAUGUCACAACUCCAAUUAAAUAAUUACCUGGAAAGCAUUUGUUUAAAGCU